CCUGAGAAACCCAAAAGAUCGAAUGGGGAGAUUCAUCGUCAGCAUAUUUGGUAUAUGUGCGAGUUAUGAUAUAAGUUAUCCUUGUGGUAAUUAUAAUACAUGCUUGUAUCAUUUUUGGCUGAGUAUGUCGGCGUGCACUUCUCCCCUAGUAGGACGUCGUGACCCGUUGGGUGUCGUUCUAUGGCCCAAAUGGUAGUCUUUGAUUAUUCUUAUAAUCAAAGACCAUUGGUGUACCUGAUCGACUGCUCGGCGGUAUUCACAUGGUAUUGAGUCGCAAUUUUUUGCGUCAAACUCAUUGCAAGCGCGGUUUUCAUUCAGCAGUGCGGAUUUAAUGCCGUCGUUGAUGUUAAUCAGCUGUUGGUUAAUGAUGUUCUUUGACUGACUCGCAAUUUUUACCGGUCAACGACGCUACUGCUUUGGGUACUUUCAGG
rnacentral:rRNA from 1 species